GACGAACGCUGGCGGCGUGCUUAACACAUGCAAGUCGAACGGGGAAGCGAGUUCUUGCACUCGUGGAUCAGUUGCGAACGGGUGAGUAACACGUGAGUAACCUGCCCAUCACUCUGGGAUAAGCACUGGACACGGUGUCUAUUACUGGAUACGACCAACCCUUGCAUGGGGUGUUGGUGGUAAGAUUUAUCGGUGCUGGAUGGACUCGCGGCCUAUCAGCUUGUUUGCGGGGUAAUGGCCCACCAAGGCGACGACGGGUAGCCGGCCUGAGAGGGUGACCGGCCACACUGGGACUGAGAUACGGCCCAGACUCCUCCGGGAGGCAGCAGUGGAGAAUAGUGCACAAUGGGCGAAAGCCUGAUGCAGCGAAGCCGCGUGAGGGAUGACGGCCUGCGGGUUGUAUACCUCUUUCAGCAGGGAAGAAGCGAAAGUGACGGUACCUGCAGAAGAAGCACCGGCUAACUACGUG
rnacentral:rRNA from 1 species